GACGAACGCCGGCGGCGUGCCUAAUACAUGCAAGUCGAGCGGGUUUGUUCCUUCGGGGACAAGCUAGCGGCGGACGGGUGAGUAACACGUAGGUAACCUGCCUUCAAGAUCGGGAUAACUUUCGGAAACGAACGCUAAGACCGGAUAGCUGGUUUUCUCGCAUGAGAGAAUCAUGAAACACGGAGCAAUCUGUGGCUUGAAGAUGGGCCUGCGGCGCAUUAGCUAGUUGGUAGGGUAACGGCCUACCAAGGCGGCGAUGCGUAGCCGACCUGGGAGGGUGAACGGCCACACUGGGACUGAGACACGGCCCAGACUCCUACGGGAGGCGGCAGUAGGGAAUCUUCCGCAAUGGACGCAAGUCUGACGGAGCAACGCCGCGUGAGUGAUGAAGGUUUUCGGAUCGUAAAGCUCUGUUGCCCUAGACGAACAGCAGGGAGAGUAACUGCUCUCUGUGUGACGGUAUAGGAGAAGAAAGCCCCGGCUAACUACGUGCCAGCAGCCGCGGUAA
rnacentral:rRNA from 1 species